rnacentral:misc_RNA from 1 species
GUCAGAAAUAAGAAAAUAAUAUGGAAAGGCAAAAUGCUGCUUCACCAUUUUCAUUUUCAAAUUUUAACACUAUCACUCCUCCUUCUUCUCCGAUGAAGUUCGGAUUUUCAUCUACUGAUUCCGGCUCUUCCUCGCCGGUUGCCGGUGAUACAGUUCCUGGACUAUCGGCUACAGUUCCUUCGUGGUUGCUCGGAACUAGUUUCGUUUCAACUGAUAACUCUACUUUACCUUGGUUUUCGAAUGCGAGCUCAUCAACUGUGAUUUCGUCAUCUUUAGGACCGACUACUACAAACAAUUGUUUUGCGGAUUCACUAUCAUCAGUCACUUCGCCUUCUUCGGUUUCAGAAAUUACUACUACGGUAUCAGCCACUUCAACUUCUUCUCUCUCUGGAAAAGUAUCUGUGUCAACUUCUUCACCACCACAACCAACCGUCUCAGCACCGGGAUUUGUAACUGUUCCUGCUAGUUGUUCACUCGAGCAGGAUGAGGUUGCUGCAAUUUUGGCAAGACAAUGUGAGAAGCUUCUGUCCCGCCAAGCUCAAGGCAGAGGGCAAAAUGAAAAGCAUGUUUCAGUCUCUCAGCCUUGUGCCUAUGGAGCAACAGUACUUGAAAUUACAAGCUCAAGCAAGCCUGUCGGUGAUGCUGCUUAUAUACCUGCUGCUACUGCUGAACAGAAAUAUGGGGAGUCCAAGCCGUGCAGUGUUCCCAUUACUGGUGUCCCUUCAACCUCCACUCCUUCAGUCCCGAUGGGCUCAAAGUCAGGCAGCUCAUUGCUUUCAAGCUCACAGCCUAUUGAGGAGGAGCAACCUUGCCUUCCACCUGUCGAUCUUCUGGACUCAACAAUUGAAAUGUGGGAGCGGGUUGUCGUGAAUAACAAGACGGAUCAAGAGGUCACUGAAGAGGGGCUUCGUCACUUCUACGAGGGCAUCAACUAUUUUUGUCUCCUGUCAGAACGCCUUCUAUUAGUCACUGAUAAGUAUGAUGAGGAGGCAAAAGUGAGGGAUGACAAGGAAAAGAUGACCUCUUCUUUGAAAGAUAAGUUGGCUAAAGUCAGUCGGAAGCUCGAGGACUCUAAGAAGGAGAAGGAGAGACUUGAGCAUGAGUUGGCCGGGGCUGCAAACAAGAUAACUGCUCUAACUGGUGAGAAGGACUCUAUUUUGCUGGUCCAGACGAUCCUUCACCAAACUAUCUCCGAGCUGAGAAGGGAAUUGGAGGAGGCUGCUCCUGCUGCUAUCCAGAAAUACAAGGCUUCCUCCCUGUACAGACAGGAGCUCAUGGAGUACGCUGCUCCUUACAUGGGAAAUGGGGUGAAGCUGGCCAUAGAGAAGAU